UACGGAGGGUGCGAGCGUUAUCCGGAUUCACUGGGUUUAAAGGGUGCGUAGGUGGGAAUGUAAGUCAGUGGUGAAAUCUCUGAGCUUAACUCAGAAACUGCCAUUGAUACUAUGUUUCUUGAAUUUUCUGGAGGUCAGCGGAAUAUGUCAUGUAGCGGUGAAAUGCUUAGAUAUGACAUAGAACACCAAUUGCGAAGGCAGCUCACUAAGCAGCGAUUGACGCUGAGGCACGAAAGCGUGGGGAUCAAACAGG
rnacentral:rRNA from 1 species